rnacentral:rRNA from 1 species
CUACGGGCGGCUGCAGUGGGGAAUAUUGGACAAUGGGGGAAACCCUGAUCCAGCAAUGCCGCGUGUGUGAAGAAGGCCUGCGGGUUGUAAAGCACUUUCGGUUGGGAGGACUGCUUCUAGCACUAAUAUUGUUGGAAGUUGACGUUACCUUCAGAAGAAGCACCGGCUAACUCCGUGCCAGCAGCCGCGGUAAAUGGAGGGUGCAAGCGUUGAUCGGAAUUACUGGGCGUAAAGCGCGCGUAGGCGGCUAGAUCAGUCGGGUGUGAAAGCCCCGGGCUUAACCUGGGAACUGCAUCCGAUACUGUCUAGCUUGAGUACAGGAGAGGAGAGUGGAAUUCCACAUGUAGCGGUGAAAUGCGUAGAUAUGUGGAGGAACACCAAUGGCGAAGGCAGCUCUCUGGCCUGAUACUGACGCUGAGGUGCGAAAGCGUGGGGAGCAAACAGGAUUAGAUACCCCCGUAGUC